AAAGGUCGUAUUAUAUGUAAACCAAAGAAGCAGCAUUUACUUGGAGACAUGCUGCAUCAUGAUGGAGAGAGUGCUGUUAUUGUUGGGAUUAGUGGUUCUUCACACUUCAUACACUAUACCAGUUUCCCCUGAAGUACACGAGGUGUAUGAGAAUGGAGAAGAUGAGAAUCCUAUCUUAAAUUUAGGUGAGAUAUGUUUCAACACGUAAUGGUUCCAAAAUCAAAACUGUUGCAUACUUGGUGCUGCUGAUGAUACAGUUAAACACAAUCUCUUUUUCUUUUUUUACCGUGCUGUAGGAUCAGAUGCCGACCUGUUUGAAGGGGACGGCACUCAUAUUUACUACAGUCAUAAACUGUGACACCAAUGGUUUUGGUGGACUCAGCGGUGCAUUCAGGUUCAGGCUUGAUGGCGAAGUUUCCCAGAGGAACACUAAUGUCCAAAGAGCUUAGAGGCACUAUAUACCUUUAGUUAUUAACAUUUUAUAUACUUAUCCUUGUACUGUCUAAUGUUUAUCAAGAAUGUGUGGGUAACCUUUUUUUGCUUAGACAAAAAUCACAGAUAGUACUUGAAAACAGUUGGUAAUUUCCUUAGUUACUUUGGAGGGGUUAUGUCAUAACUGGUGACUUGAUUUUCAAGCUUUGUACGUUUGCAGUUAUAAUUUGUUAUCAAAAACUUCCUCUCCCAUAGGUGCUUCUCUAGUGUUGGUGACCAGCAGACAGGUUGUCUUGUCACUGGGACCAGGCUGUGACCACAGUGGUUGAGCACGAGCUGCUCCCAGUGGCGUGUCUAGAAAAUUUUUGUUAGGGGGGCCAGGUAGGGGCACAGAUUUGGAGAAGGGUGGCAGAUGUAAUUGGCAGAUAAUGUUAAAAACAAUUCUACCAACCGUUAACCAUAAUUCAAUAACCCUGUAAACCUAACAACCGAAUGCGCUUUUAACUCUUAUUAGAAU